CCUCGGUGAGCAGGGAGAGUCAGGGAGACCCUGCCCCAUCCCGCAGGGGGUGCCCGCACAGACCGGGCUCCCCGCGUCCCACACCCCGACGUGACUCCUUGGCGGCCGGGCGAGGGCUGCGGUUCACCUAAAGCACCCCCAGGCUCCCCCCUAAAGCAGGACCCGGGCACCGAGAACAGCCCAAAUUUCUACAAACACCCAAGGCGCAAACACAAGGAAAUGUAUUUAAGGAGCCGGCUGGCGGACCCCCACGCCGGGAGUCUCACCCCAUGGUGUCACCCCCGCACCCAGCGGCUCUGUGUCCAGCUGCGGGUUCACCCCCAAACCCGUACCAAGCUGCACCCACGCGUGAACGUGUCCCCACGGGUGGCAGCAGCCCGGCCCGGUGCCCUGCUCGUCCCGCAACACGCACACAGGGUCUAUAAACGCCACAGCCUCCGCGGGGAGGCUGCGGAAAGCUGCCUCCGGUUGUGCUGGAAAGCCCCGUGGUGGGAGCACCUGCCCGCAGCCCUGCUGCCGGGGGGGCUCCGAAGGAACCCAGUGCCCCUCAUCGCGGCCUCGGGCCGCCGCCGCCUGGGGGGCGAGAGCCCGGCACCGCCGGGAGCUGACCUAACGCCGCUGCGGGGAGAAAUUGGGUCGAAAAACGGGUAAAUCGGUUGUGUCUGAACGCACUCGCACACGCAACACGACUACGGGCAGGUUUUGGCGAAGCUCCUCCGGCGUCAAUGCGCUCCCGGGGCAAAUCCUCGGGUCUUUCACCGUUUCCACUUUUAUUCGAAUGCCACAAGCGACCGGAACGGGCGGUCGGCGAGCGUUUAUUUCAAUGCUCAUUAUUUUUUAAGAAUAAAUUCCAAUUAAAUAGCGCCUGGAAACGGCAAGGCGCGCGGCUGCGGCACGGGCGAGCCCGACGGCUUCGCCCCGCUUUUCCCAACCGAAACGAAACGAAGGAAACUCCGGCGGGGGCUCAGCCACGGCCCCCGCGGCUUUGGGGCUGGAUUCCCGCAGAGACAUUUCUGCCCUUGCCGCUGACCAGCAGCAUCCCCGAGCUGUUAUUAUUAUUUUUUUUUUCUCAAGUGCAUUUUUUUUUAAUUCUUUUCUUUUCGGUUUGCGGACGCAGGGACUCCCCGCGAGCUGCAAACGGCCGCUUUCUCCUGAACGCAGCGAGCAAAUAAAUACAGAUCCCCAGCCAGUUGCGCUGCAUUAUUCCGAGGGAAAUAGCUGGCAUUCCUGCCCCGGUUUAUUUUGGAGCCGAAAUUUCCCACCCUUCCCGCAGCGCCGGUCCCUAGCGGGGCCGGGGCUGGGCGCCGGGACCCCGCCGCCGGUGCGGGGCUGGAAGCGGGCGUCGGGAGCGCUCCCGGGGCCGAGCAGGGCCCGAUCCUGGCGGCAGAGGCCCGAGAGCAGAGCGAGAGCCCGGGGGAGACCGAGCGCGGCUUCUCCCCGUUUCUCCGAGGAGCAAAGAGCCGGCGAGCAGAUAAGGCUGAAGUGGUUUCCUUGCUCUGGGGGAGGUGACAGGCACCGCACCGGAGCAGAAUUAAAUCCGCCAAAUUUGCCGGGCCAUGCGGACAGCGGGGGUGUAAGUGUUUUUUUUCNNNNNNNNNNNNNNNNNNNNNNNNNNNNNNNNNNNNNNNNNNNNNNNNNNNNNNNNNNNNNNNNNNNNNNNNNNNNNNNNNNNNNNNNNNNNNNNNNNNNUUUUUUUUUUUUUUUUUUUUUUUUUUUUUUGUCGUUUCCCGGCCCUCUGCGGGUCCCCGUCGCAAGGCCGGAGCGAAGAGGAGGCCCCGAGCCCCCGGGGACAGGCGGGGGCACGGCUGCGUGGGGGCAGCCCGGGGCUGACAGGACCCCAACGGGACGGUGUGGGGCCGGAUAAAUGUCCUGGGGCCGGGUAACCGCUCAUGGGACCGGAUAGCUGCUCGUGGGGCUCAGGGCGGCUCUGCACCGCCGGGAGGCUGCGAGCAUCGCCCCAGCCUCGGCAGGGCACGGGAGAGGUGGGGGAAGAGAGAGACCCCCUCCCCUCUCCGGUAUUAUGGGGUUUUGGUGCCAAGGAGAGAGGGAGAGCUCGCUGGGGGCACAAAACCCCCUCGCCACGUCCUCUGCUACCCGAAACCCCAUAUCGGAAAGCGUGCCGAGCCCUCCCCAGCCUCCACCGGCGGCCGGUUCCUGCGGGAAACCGGGGUCGGACGAGCCGGGGGGGGGGGCACACACCGCACCCCCUCCUCGAAGAGCCCCCAAAAAACACCUGGAGAGUGGGGGGGGGCAAAGCCGGGAGCCUCCCCCACCGGGGGCGGGGGGCGGG
rnacentral:lncRNA from 1 species